CUUCUCUCAUCCGUACAAAGGCAUUCCAAAGGGAUAUUAUGUAAAACGUCAUAGAAGACAGAUUGCAUAAAAUAUAAGCAAAGAUAAGAGAAGUACAUGCUACACAAGUUAAGGGUUUAACCUUAAUCUCUAAUUUAAGUUUUAGCCUAGGUAAUUAAUUAAUUGAUGUUGUAUUGAUCCUUGUGUUUGUAUGAUUGUAGAGACAGUCCUGGAGUGUUUGUGCCGCCUGAUUUCUGGGACUACACACCAAUCUCUCUGGCUGACCAUGCAAUAAGUAUUUUGCAAUUACAUCUGUUUGGUCAUAAUCCAUACAGACUGAAGAAACUGAGAUACUUACUUAUGAGGACAUAAACUUUUCACGCAAGAACCUGGAAAGUCCUGAAGGUGCAGUGCUGUCUAAUACCGCUGGUUAUGUAAUAACCCUUUCAACCAUUGGGGUGUUGCACAGAGCAUUGUGGUGAAAAUCCAGCAAACAAAAGAAGAACUAUGUGGAAGCUGACAUUGUCUUGUUGUCAGCCAUAUUGCUACCCUUAGCCAUUUUAUGGAACAAAAUGUCUGGUGUCUAAACUGAUUUCUUUAUCCUCUGUGGAAGACUUAUUCUAUUUUUCUGAACUAUUGAACUAUUUUUAUUUUUGUAGAGUUAGCGGGAGAGAGAUGAAGUGUUAGCUGACCCAGGGAUGGAUGUACUAUGUGUGUUUUUGAUAUAUGUUGAGUGUGCCAACGACGGAUUCCCAUGUUUUGAGGAACUGCGUGAGCAUAUGACUGGUUCUGACUGGACCUUUGGAAUAGGGAAAUGGUUAAAAGAUAUAGGACGCAAGGUCCUGGUUGUGAUUAUUGUCAGAAUUUCAAGCUAGAUUAUAAUUUAUCUCAUGAAUUAAUAUGUAAGAAGUGUUUCCCAAUUCCUCCCGAUACCAAAGCUAUGUACUCACAGGUGCGGGUAUUAUAAGUCACAAGUGGUGUCAACUGUGAGGGGAUGACAUGUCUAACACGAUCGCGACCCUUAUUUGCUAUAAGUCCAGGUUCCAUUUUGUCUUAAACAUCGAUUUUCUAUACAUCUGUCUGCAAAAGUAUUAAGUGUCUUUUUUCCUGCUGAGUUUCUGUUUCUUGUAGACCACAUGAUUGCUUAGGAAUGUCAUAAUGUGGAAGUUUUUCUGUCCUGGGAGAAUGUUAACCAAUAAUAUGAGCAAGUUUUUGCUCAAAGAGGGGAAUGAAAGGAUAUGAAGUAGUUAACUUUUCUUGUUCAUAUGUAUUUUAUGCUUAGAUAAGGUUUAUAAUCAUUAGUGCUGACUGUAAGGAUAUGAAAUAGUUAAACUCUUUUUGCUUUAUAUGCUUUAAAAUAAUGUUUAAAAUAAUUAUGCAGACUUUGGCAGAUGAAUUUUGUACCAAGGUCUUCCUUCUAGAGGAUGUGUGACCUUGUGCGACCUCAGGACGUUCCUGUUCUGUCUUUAUUCAAAUGCUUAUCUUCUACUGCCACAGAAGUAUGUACUAUUAACUAUAAGGAAGCGAUAAAUUUCGUUGCUUGUGUGACAAACUGUGUAUAAAUGCUAGC
rnacentral:lncRNA from 1 species